GAGGUGCAACCAUGGCAGGAGGGAAGAAAGAGCUGCUCAAAGAGGAAGAAAGAGGAAAGGGGUCUGUGGGUAGUGGCCAAACAAGGGGUGAGCCUUUGCCAUCCGCUAGGCAAGCAAGCAAAAGGGAGAAGGGUAAAAGAAGAGGGAGCAAAUAGGCUUGGGGUUAUCGACGAUAUGGUGGCUCGAUGUUCGAGCUUGAUGAGUAGUGGGUCUUUAUGAAUGGUGGGAUUUAGAGUUACAUAAGCUUUAUCGAUUGUUGGAUUUAGACUCACAAUAGUCGGAGAGCGGCCUCUCCUCUCUUGUUGUCCUUUGUCCUCUCUCAAGGUGAUUGCUUCGGUGGUAUAGAUGG
rnacentral:lncRNA from 1 species